rnacentral:rRNA from 1 species
CCUAGUAGUCCACGCCGUAAACGAUGAGAACUAAGUGUUGGAGGAAUUCAGUGCUGCAGUUAACGCAAUAAGUUCUCCGCCUGGGGAGUAUGCACGCAAGUGUGAAACUCAAAGGAAUUGACGGGGGCCCGCACAAGCGGUGGAGUAUGUGGUUUAAUUCGAAGCAACGCGAAGAACCUUACCAGGCCUUGACAUGGAAACAAAUACCCUAGAGAUAGGGGGAUAAUUAUGGAUCACACAGGUGGUGCAUGGUUGUCGUCAGCUCGUGUCGUGAGAUGUUGGGUUAAGUCCCGCAACGAGCGCAACCCUUGUCGCAUGUUACCAGCAUCAAGUUGGGGACUCAUGCGAGACUGCCGGUGACAAACCGGAGGAAGGUGGGGAUGACGUCAAAUCAUCAUGCCCCUUAUGGCCUGGGCUACACACGUACUACAAUGGCGACCACAAAGAGCAGCGACACAGUGAUGUGAAGCGAAUCUCAUAAAGGUCGUCUCAGUUCGGAUUGAAGUCUGCAACUCGACUUCAUGAAGUCGGAAUCGCUAGUAAUCGCAGAUCAGCAUGCUGCGGUGAAUACGUUCUCGGGCCUUGUACACACCGCCCGUC